GUGCUCGUAGCUCAAGGGUAGAGCGCUUGCCUGUGGAGCAAGCGGUUGCCGGUUCGAGUCCGGUCGAGCACCCCA
rnacentral:tRNA from 3 species